GAGACUCAGUGAAAUUGAACUCGCUGUGAAGAUGCAGUGUACCCGCGGCAAGACGGAAAGACCCCGUGAACCUUUACUAUAGCUUGACACUGAACACUGGUCCUUGAUGUGUAGGAUAGGUGGGAGGCUUUGAAGUGUGGACGCCAGUCUGCAUGGAGCCAUCCUUGAAAUACCACCCUUUAAUGGCUGGUGUUCUAACGUAGACCCGUAAUCCGGGUUGCGGACAGUGUCUGGUGGGUAGUUUGACUGGGGCGGUCUCCUCCUAAAGAGUAACGGAGGAGCACGAAGGUUAGCUAAUCCUGGUCGGACAUCAGGAGGUUAGUGCAAAGGCAUAAGCUAGCUUGACUGCGAGAGUGACGGCUCGAGCAGGUGCGAAAGCAGGUCUUAGUGAUCCGGUGGUUCUGAAUGGAAGGGCCAUCGCUCAACGGAUAAAAGGUACUCCGGGGAUAACAGGCUGAUACCGCCCAAGAGUUCAUAUCGACGGCGGUGUUUGGCACCUCGAUGUCGGCUCAUCACAUCCUGGGGCUGAAGUAGGUCCCAAGGGUAUGGCUGUUCGCCAUUUAAAGUGGUACGCGAGCUGGGUUUAGAACGUCGUGAGACAGUUCGGUCCCUAUCUGCCGUGGGCGCUGGAGAAUUGAGGGGGGCUGCUCCUAGUACGAGAGGACCGGAGUGGACGCAUCACUGGUGUUCGGGUUGUCAUGCCAAUGGCAUUGCCCGGUAGCUAAAUGCGGAAGAGAUAAGUGCUGAAAGCAUCUAAGCACGAAACUUGCC
rnacentral:rRNA from 1 species